GGGGCCUUAGCUCAGCUGGGAGAGCGCCUGCUUUGCACGCAGGAGGUCAGCGGUUCGAUCCCGACUAGGCUCCA
rnacentral:tRNA from 1 species